CAUCGAUAUCAAAAGAUAAAUUUUACGUCUUAAUCGGAAAGGUCGAAGAACACAAUCUGUCAAUAUAUAACAGUCAGCAAUUCGCGGAUCGAUCACAUACAAGCUUGCAGAACUUCAGAAAACUACAAUCGUUUCAAGACGUAAAAUAAAAAAAUGUCGAAAAUAAUUUUCUUGUUAUCAAUUUUUGUAUUGGUUGUUAUGUAUUCUGGUGUAUAUGCAGAAUGUCCUGGCGGUUGGUGCCAUCCAUCACAAGGAUAUGGCUGUUGUAAAGGAAAUGAAUGCAGUAAUUAUUACUUUCAAGGUAUAUGCAUUAGUGAUGUUGAGGCGAGAUUCAUAGCAAUUGCACACGGAAAAUAAUUAUAACAAUGCAAUAAGGAUUUAUAAAUGUAUUGUAUAAACUAAUAAAAAUAUCUUAUUUUUGAAGAAAA